rnacentral:rRNA from 1 species
AGGGUUUGAUUAUGGCUCAGGAUGAACGCUGGCGGCGUGCUUAACACAUGCGAGUCGAACGAACCUUCGGGUUAGUGGCGGACGGGUGAGUAACGCGUGAGAAUCUGCCCUCAGGAGGGGGAUAACGGUUGGAAACGACCGCUAAUACCCCAUAUGCCUACUGGUGAAACGAAUUUCGCCUGAGGAUGAGCUCGCGUCUGAUUAGCUAGUUGGUGAGGUAAUGGCUCACCAAGGCUUCGAUCAGUAGCUGGUCUGAGAGGAUGAUCAGCCACACUGGGACUGAGACACGGCCCAGACUCCUACGGGAGGCAGCAGUGGGGAAUUUUCCGCAAUGGGCGAAAGCCUGACGGAGCAACGCCGCGUGAGGGACGAAGGCCUCUGGGCUGUAAACCUCUUUUCUCAAGGAAGAAGAUAUGACGGUACUUGAGGAAUAAGCCACGGCUAAUUCCGUGCCAGCAGCCGCGGUAAUACGGGAGUGGCAAGCGUUAUCCGGAAUUAUUGGGCGUAAAGCGUCCGCAGGCGGCUUUUCAAGUCUGCUGUUAAAACGUGGAGCUUAACUCCAUCAUGGCAGUGGAAACUGAAAGGCUUGAGUAUGGUAGGGGCAGAGGGAAUUCCCGGUGUAGCGGUGAAAUGCGUAGAUAUCGGGAAGAACACCAGUGGCGAAGGCGCUCUGCUGGGCCAUUACUGACGCUCAUGGACGAAAGCCAGGGGAGCGAAAGGGAUUAGAUACCCCUGUAGUCCUGGCCGUAAACGAUGAACACUAGGUGUCGGGGGAAUCGACCCCUUCGGUGUCGUAGCUAACGCGUUAAGUGUUCCGCCUGGGGAGUACGCACGCAAGUGUGAAACUCAAAGGAAUUGACGGGGGCCCGCACAAGCGGUGGAGUAUGUGGUUUAAUUCGAUGCAACGCGAAGAACCUUACCAGGGUUUGACAUCCUGCGAACCUCUUAGAAAUUUGAGGGUGCCUUCGGGAAUGCAGUGACAGGUGGUGCAUGGCUGUCGUCAGCUCGUGUCGUGAGAUGUUGGGUUAAGUCCCGCAACGAGCGCAACCCACGUUUUUAGUUGCCAGCAUUUAGUUGGGCACUCUAGAAAGACCGCCGGUGAUAAACCGGAGGAAGGUGUGGAUGACGUCAAGUCAUCAUGCCCCUUACACCCUGGGUUACACACGUACUACAAUGCUACGGACAAAGGGCAGCAAACUCGCGAGAGCUAGCAAAUCCCAUAAACCGUGGCUCAGUUCAGAUCGUAGGCUGCAACUCGCCUACGUGAAGUAGGAAUCGCUAGUAAUCGCAGGUCAGCAUACUGCGGUGAAUACGUUCCCGGGCCUUGUACACACCGCCCGUCACACCAUGGAAGUUGGCCAUGCCCGAAGUCGUUACUCCAACCCUUGUGGAGGAGGACGCCGAAGGUAGGGCUAAUGACUGGGGUGAAGUCGUAACAAGGUAACC